rnacentral:rRNA from 1 species
UGGGGAAUAUUGGACAAUGGGCGAAAGCCUGAUCCAGCCAUGCCGCGUGUGUGAAGAAGGUCUUCGGAUUGUAAAGCACUUUAAGUUGGGAGGAAGGGCAGUAAGCGAAUACCUUGCUGUUUGGACGUUACCGACAGAAUAAGCACCGGCUAACUCUGUGCCAGCAGCCGCGGUAAUACAGAGGGUGCAAGCGUUAAUCGGAAUUACUGGGCGUAAAGCGCGCGUAGGUGGUUCGUUAAGUUGAAUGUGAAAGCCCCGGGCUCAACCUGGGAACUGCAUCCAAAACUGGCGAGCUAGAGUAGGGCAGAGGGUGGUGGAAUUUCCUGUGUAGCGGUGAAAUGCGUAGAUAUAGGAAGGAACACCAGUGGCGAAGGCGACCACCUGGGCUCAUACUGACACUGAGGUGCGAAAGCGUGGGGAGCAAACAGG